CACAUGGAUUAAAGCUCCAGUGAAUUUCUUCUGAUGCAUAUAGGCUUGCUAUCAGACAACGAGCAUUGUACAGUGAUCAUAGCAGGUGUAUGCAGGAAGAAUUAACACCUAGAGGUCUAGACAAUCUUCUACCACAUCUUACUAUCGUAAAACAGGCAUAAUCUCUUCUUCCAAGGAUUUCAAAGUUGAGCAGGCACAGAGACUCAAAAGGAAGAUGGCCAUAUCAAGCAUGAAUAUUGUGGCAGAGAUCGGAGUAAUGCUGUCACAAACUAAAGAUUGCCUCAAGCUAAAAGAAGUUGAAAAAAUAAAACAAACAAGAAAGGACUUCCUGUUAGAGCAGUGGUUCU